rnacentral:rRNA from 1 species
GAUUAACGCUAGCGGCAGGCCUAAUACAUGCAAGUCGAACGGCAGCACGGGUAGCAAUACCUGGUGGCGAGUGGCGCACGGGUGCGUAACGCGUAUGCAAUCUACCUAUAACUGGGGAAUAGCCUUCCGGAAGGAAGAUUAAAACCGCAUAACAUCACGAAGUGGCAUCAUUUUGUGACCAAAUCUCCGGAGGUUAUAGAUGAGCAUGCGUGACAUUAGCUAGUUGGUGAGGUAACGGCCCACCAAGGCUACGAUGUCUAGGGGGUCUGAGAGGAUGAUCCCCCACACUGGUACGU